rnacentral:rRNA from 1 species
UACGUAGGGUGCGAGCGUUGUCCGGAAUUAUUGGGCGUAAAGAGCUCGUAGGCGGUCUGUCGCGUCGAAUGUGAAAACCCGGGGCUCAACUCCGGGCUUGCAUUCGAUACGGGCAGACUAGAGUUCGGUAGGGGAGACUGGAAUUCCUGGUGUAGCGGUGAAAUGCGCAGAUAUCAGGAGGAACACCGGUGGCGAAGGCGGGUCUCUGGGCCGAUACUGACGCUGAGGAGCGAAAGCAUGGGGAGCGAACAGG